rnacentral:rRNA from 1 species
GAAAAUUUUAAAAAUUUGGAUUAUUGAACUGGAUUAGUACCCAGGUAAUCAAAAUUAAUUAAUUCGGGAGUAAAGUUUUGUUUAAACCGAAAAAAUAUUGACUGACUCUGGAUUUCUUUUUGGAAUAUGUGUAUGGAGAGCCCUCUUUAAUAGUGAAUCUUUUUUUGCACAUGUAUGAUUGUUUAGUUUUUAUUUUGUUUUGUAAUGCUUUUUUUAGAUUUAAAACARAUAUAUACUUGGCUUAUGGGUUUAUUAAUC